rnacentral:rRNA from 1 species
CCUACGGGAGGCAGCAGUAAGGAAUAUUGGUCAAUGGGCGCAAGCCUGAACCAGCCAUGCCGCGUGCAGGAAGACGGCCCUAUGGGUUGUAAACUGCUUUUGAACAAGAGAAAACCUCGGUACGUGUACCGAGCUGAUAGUAUUGUUAGAAUAAGCAUCGGCUAACUUCGUGCCAGCAGCCGCGGUAAGACGAAGGAUGCAAGCGUUAUCCGGAUUCAUUGGGUUUAAAGGGUGCGUAGGCGGCCUGAUAAGUCAGUGGUGAAAUCUCUCAGCUUAACUGAGAAACUGCCAUUGAUACUGUCGGGCUUGAGUACAGAUGAUGUGGGCGGAAUAUGACAUGUAGUGGUGAAAUACUUAGAUAUGUCAUAGAACACCGAUUGCGAAGGCAGCUCACAAAACUGUAACUGACGCUGAGGCACGAAAGUGCGGGGAUCAAACAGGAUUAGAUACCCUGGUAGUCCGCACCGUAAACGAUGAUUACUCGUUGUUGGCAAUAUGACCGUCAGCGACCAAGCGAAAGCGAUAAGUAAUCCACCUGGGGAGUACGCCGGCAACGGUGAAACGUCAAAGGAAUUGACGGCGNGAGAGNGCGAGGACGACACGAGGGAGGAGG